GAGGCAGAGGGGAAUAGUGUUUUGGAGGAACCCUGCCCAAGCUUUUGGCACAACAGAAUGAUCUAAAAAGUAAUGAUUUUACACCAUACCUAAGGGAUCAAGUAUUUUAAUGGCAUUCUGAUAUAAAUUUGGGGGGGUUGAGUAGAUCUCUACUAAUAAUGGUAUGAAGGAGGAGAAUGGUAUUAUAACCAUGUGUUUGGACAUAGGAGAACUCGAAUUAACUACCAAAUUAUUUUGCAUAUAAAGAUACAAAUUAUUUUGCACCUAUGAUGCCAAAAUCAUGGAGAGAGAGAGAUACUUUGAAAUAAUUUGCUAGCAGUUUUGUCCUUAAAAAGGGAAAUUGAAUGUAACAGUGAGGAAUGAAAAUGUGGUGGUGGUUCCUGCUAAAUACAUUAUUUGCUUACAUACAGAUCAAGUGCAAGAGGUCUAGAAAGCUUGAAAUGAUGAAUGCAGACCCUUGGUGUGGCUGCUUUGGUGUGCCAGUCGGUAAAGUUACAUUUGUAAUAGAUGCAAUAUGUUUGCCAACGGAUAGAAGAAAUACUAAAGAGGGUAUUCACAUAGUCUAACUGCGCUGAUAUUCAACUGCUCAGUUUCUCAGUGCAAGCAAUAAAAUCGAUGCUUUGUAUUUGAAGAAGUGUGAUGGUCAGAAGCCAAGUGGAAUGCUUGUGCUCUUCAGUACUCUCAUUUCAAAAGUGUUUUCUGAGGAAUUAUCACAGGUACGGUCUCCUGCUUUGCCAGCAAUUCUGGUAGUAUGCUUGGAGCAAGGUGGAGAAUCUAAAGCACUGAGAGAUUGAUUUCACUGAUGAUGGCAAAGCUGUGCUGGCUCCAGGCCUGGCUGGUGACUGAGCAGGUUUUCCAUCCCCUGAGCAGCAACCU